rnacentral:lncRNA from 1 species
AUUGGCAAAGUGCCCAGACACAAAGGCGUGAUCAAUUGAAUUUGUUCCAAGUUUGCUACUACAAGAACAAUCUGUAGGUUCUCUUCCAAAAGUAACAAUUCUCUCCUUCUUGCAAUUGCUAUUUGAUGUUAAGAAUAAGGAGAAUUAGUAGUGGUGGGGCAUGUUGGCUUACCAAAGUUUCAUUUCAUUGUCCUUCUCAGAUAAAAUGUGACACAGUGAGCAAUAUCCUGUUGCAAUUUGCACCACUCGAAUAUUCUCUAAUGCGCCUAAUAAUGGACGGGGU